rnacentral:rRNA from 1 species
UACGGAGGAUGCGAGCGUUAUCCGGAUUUAUUGGGUUUAAAGGGUGCGUAGGCGGGAUGCCAAGUCAGCGGUAAAAAUGCGGUGCUCAACGCCGUCGAGCCGUUGAAACUGGCGUUCUUGUGUGGGCGAGAAGUAUGCGGAAUGCGUGGUGUAGCGGUGAAAUGCAUAGAUAUCACGCAGAACUCCGAUUGCGAAGGCAGCAUACCGGCGCCCUACUGACGCUGAGGCACGAAAGCGUGGGUAUCGAACAGG